rnacentral:rRNA from 1 species
GAUGAACGCUGGCGGCGUGCCUAACACAUGCAAGUCGAGCGAACCCUUCGGGGUGAGCGGCGGACGGGUGAGUAACGCGUGGGUAACCUGCCCUAUACACACGGAUAACGUACCGAAAGGUACGCUAAUACGGGAUAAAGUUGUUGGAUGGCAUCUUCUAACAAUCAAAGCUCCGGCGGUAUAGGAUGGACCCGCGUCGGAUUAGCUAGGUGGUGAGGUAAUGGCUCACCAAGGCGACGCUCAGUAGCCGACCUGAGAGGGUGAUCGGCCACACUGGAACUGAGACACGGUGCAGACUCCUACGGGAGGCAGCAGUGGGGGAUAUUGCACAAUGGGCGAAAGCCUGAUGCAGCAACGCCGCGUGAGCGAUGAAGGUCUUCGGAUCGUAAAGCUCUGUCCUCAAGGAAGAUAAUGACGGUACUUGAGGAGGAAGCCCCGGCUAACUACGUGCCAGCCGCCGCGGUAA